ACUUCUGGGGGAAAUUGAAGCCCAGGGUGUCACAGCAAGCUUGUGCGGGAGAUACCCAAGGUCCCAGGCUUCCUGAUGUCUAACCAGCAUCCUCAAAGCUGCCACAGCUGGCUGCUCCUCCACCACAAGGCACCAGCACACACGGAGCCCAGGCUUGCACAUGCCCUAUGUGAAUGGGGGUCAGAGGAGGCUGUGCGAGGCCCCAGGUGGAGAGAAGCAAGAAUAGGAUGGAGCCGCAAGAUGUUUCUUUCUGCUGUGUCUUCCUCAGCUCCUGAGCCCAGGGCAGGGCUGGAGCCAGGGAGGGCAUCUCUAUGGCAAGAGGAGAUGGCAUCAAAGAUGAAAGGAAACGCAAGGAGAACAGACCAGAAGAUGGCCUCCAUGACAUGACGGGAGCUGUAAAUCAGAGAACCUGGAGAGAUGGAGCCGCAGACCUGGACUGAGUGCUGACACGCAGCCAGGUUGCCAUAAAGGAGCUGUGCCAGGAGGGACCCUGACAAUUGCACCCCAUAAACUCCAGUGGGUCUACUGUAAAUAGAGCACGCUUCAGCGGCAGUGUCCUGAGGCCACCCCUGGGAGCCAUAGCACUUGUGUUUGCCAACAGAGCAGCCACAGCUCCAUGGGGGACAGGUCUGGUCCAGGGCCAGGCAGGGCAGUAGCUUCCUUCCAGCUCAGCCUCCUCCCCACUCAGUCCCCCACCUGAAGUGGGCAAGCAGGAAGGGGAGCCAGGGUUGUGGGGAUGCCGUGGGGCCCAUAUACAGCCAAAGUCCCCCCACCCCCGCCCGGAGACAGAAAUGGCAGGCACAGUAAACCCAGGGUGCUGAGGUUUUCUGUUGUGCCUCCCAUGGUGACAGGCUUACCAGGGCCUGGACUACACUGAGGCGAGUGAGGCACUCACCUCGGUGCAAAAUGUAAGGGGGUGCCAGAAAAGUCAGCAAUCAAGACAGGUAAGACUAUUUAACACACUACUUAAGAAAAUAAAAGCGAACACCAAAAAGUCCACGAAGAACAAAAUAUCGAAAUUUUAAGUAAAGACAGGAUUCGGUGCAGUGCCGUGCCUUGUCGUACUGAA